rnacentral:rRNA from 1 species
GACGAACGCUGGCGGCGGGCUUAACACAUGCAAGUCGAACGGAAAGGCCCUGCUUGUGUGGGGUGCUCGAGUGGCGAACGGGUGAGUAACACGUGAGUAACCUGCCCUUGACUUUGGGAUAACUUCAGGAAACUGGGGCUAAUACCGGAUAGGAGCUCCUGCUGCAUGGUGGGGGUUGGAAAGUUUCGGCGGUUGGGGAUGGACUCGCGGCUUAUCAGCUUGUUGGUGGGGUAGUGGCUUACCAAGGCUUUGACGGGUAGCCGGCCUGAGAGGGUGACCGGCGACAUUGGGACUGAGAUGCGGCCCAGACUCCUACGGGAGGCAGCAGUGGGGAAUACUGCACCAUGGGCGGCGGCCUGAUGCAGCAACGCCGCGUGCGGGAUGACGGCCUUCGGGUUGUAGACCGCUUUCGCCUGUGACGAAGCGUGAGUGACGGUAAUGGGUAGAGAAGCACCGGCUAACUACGUG